ensembl:miRNA
GGCCGGUUAGCUCAGCUGGUUAGAGCGUGGUGCUAAUAACACCAAGGUCCUGGGUUCGAUCCCCAUACUGGCCAGCUGCUCUUUUU